rnacentral:rRNA from 1 species
AGCAGCCGCGGUAAUUCCAGCUCCAAUAGCGUAUAUUAAAGUUGUUGCAGUUAAAAAGCUCGUAGUUGAAUUUCGGGGUUAGUAGGCUGGUCGUGCCACCGGUACGUACUGGUCUUACUGAUUCCUCCUUCCUGAUGAACUGUAAUGCCAUUAAUUUGGUGUUGCAGGGAAUCUGGACUGUUACUUUGAAAAAAUUAGAGUGUUUAAAGCAGGCUAACGCUUGAAUACAUUAGCAUGGAAUAAUGAAAUAGGACGUUCGAUCCUAUUUUGUUGGUUUCUAGGAUUGACGUAAUGAUUGAUAGGGAUAGUUGGGGGCAUUAGUAUUCAAUUGUCAGAGGUGAAAUUCUUGGAUUUAUUGAAGACUAACUACUGCGAAAGCAUUUGCCAAGGAUGUUUUCAUUAAUCAAGAACGAAAGUUAGGGGAUCGAAGACGAUCAGAUACCGUCGUAG